AUUGAACGCUGGCGGCAGGCCUAACACAUGCAAGUCGAGCGGGGUUUUCGGACCUAGCGGCGGACGGGUGAGUAAUGCGUAGGAAGCCGCCCGAUAGACGGGGAUACCAGUUGGCAACGACUGUUAAUACCGCAUAAUGGCUACGGACCAAAGUGUGGGACCUUCGGGCCACAUGCUAUCGGAUGCGCCUACGUGGGAUUAGCUAGUUGGUGAGGUAAUGGCUCACCAAGGCGACGAUCUCUAGCUGGUUUGAGAGGAUGAUCAGCCACACUGGAACUGGGACACGGUCCAGACUCCUACGGGAGGCAGCAGGGGGGAAUAUUGGACAAUGGGCGCAAGCCUAAUCCAGCCAUGCCGCGUGUGUGAAGAAGGCCUUCGGGUUGUAAAGCACUUUCAGCGAGGAGGAAGGGUGGUGUGUUAAUAGCACAUCAUUUUGACGUUACUCGCAGAAGAAGCACCGGCUAACUCUGUGCCAGCCGCCGCAGUAACAC
rnacentral:rRNA from 1 species